UGGGCUGGGGCUCCUUUCCUCCUCACUCAGGUUCGUUCUGCCCCCAGCCCCCUGCCCCCUGCCUGCUCUGCGAGCGGCAGCGCGUGCUCACCGCUGAAGUGUCUGCUCGCUUGGAUCUGGGCUCUGUGCCAGUGCCUCUGGGUCCCCUCCUGACAGCCUAGGCGCAGGGCUGGUGCCGCCCCCACCAGCGGGCUCGGGCGGGCAGCACUGUCUCUGCUCCCGCCCCUUGGCCGCAGGAAGGGGCUUUGCCUGACGACAGCACCCAGCUUUAUGUAAAUACCCCAGCACCGUUAGUUGGGAGGCGUGGAGCACACCCACAGCCCCCAGGCUGCUCUGAAUGUGUUGCAGAGCCUCGGGGGAGAUGCACAGCACCCUUGGAUUCUGUUGACUAACUUUGGAGAUGGAAUAAAUGUUUUUCUCAUUCAUAAUCUCCAUUGUCAUGGGUAGGGCCUCUGUCUAGGGGUAGGAGAAAGAGAAAUUCCACCCUGAGGUACACCCUCUGGCCGAGGUCUUAUGGAACCUGUAUUUUGAACAGAGUUGUGGCAGUCUGGCCCUCCAGCGUGCCUAGCAGCUCCCCGCCACCCCCACCCCCCCACCGACCCAGGGUCUCAUUGCUCACGCUGCCCUCCCAUCAGCAUCUUAAAAUAGUAACUGUGCUCAGCCUGUAAACAACAUGGCUUUUCUGGGCCGCUCUGCCAGGGUCCUGGUGUGCCCCUGGAGGGGCAGGGGCCCUCUGCUUCCCAUAGACAGGGCUCAGCACCUCUGCAGCCUGUUCCGGACACACAGGGGGCCGGCCUGACUGCCCAGCCCGCCCCAGGGAACAAGCCCGGCUCAGGCAGGAGGCCAGGGCCCCCAGGGCAACUCGGGGCUUCCCCUUUUGAGCCCAGACAGGGAGCUGUCAAAAGUGGGCCCCAACAGUUUCAAAAUCCCGAGUAAAAACUAAUAGGGUUUGGGAAUUACGCUCUCAUCACUGUACUGCACCUUUGUAACCUGGGACCAACCGCGAGCAAAGGGGAGGGAGAAGCUGGGGCGAGGGUGGGGAACCCGGACCCCCAUGUGCAUGGGGCACACCUACAGCCCAGGCUCAUCCCAUCCACACCUGACCUGGCGCACUCUUGCCUCCGUGUAAGCUGCCCACAGCGUAUUUUCUGAGGCACAGCAGAGCUGGUCUUCUUGGCUCCUGAACUGUCAAGUGUCUGUUUCACAAACAAAACCUGACCUCACAGCCCCAUCUGGCAGCACAGACCAAAGCUUCAUCUUUCCAACCUGGGCCUCAGGCUCCUUCAUCCACCCAUCUUGACCUGAAACCUGCCCCGACAGAAGAGCAGGCAGACAUUCCUCUCAGGACACACUUCACGAUCAUUUCUCAGUUAAAAAGCAUUGUGGCUAAGAGAUCAGUAGUACUAGAAAAUGAUUUGAAAAGAAAUCCCCACACCUAAAUCAGGUCACAGCUGUCUCCAGUGAGACCUGGGGAAUCCCAGACAGUUAAAGAGAAAUAACGCUUUCAUCAACCAGUAAAGUUUAAUAUUAGUUAUUAAUAUCACACACUACAACAGAAAAAUCACAGCCCCUGCUUUAAAAGACAAGCCCCUGGGAUCUGAGCCCCAGCAGGGUGUCACCCACAUGGAAGAAGCUGUAAUUCUGGAGAAAAUGAUCGCCAGAGCAGGAAGGGCUUUUGGCCCAAAGGGAAGUAAGAGAGAACAAGUCCAGCCAUCCUCAGAAGGGCCAGGAGCCCGUCCCAGGCAGGAGGACUAAAGUCUUUGCACUAGAGGAGGCUCGGUGCUGAGCCAGAGGUGCUGGUGCUCCGACUUCCCAGUGAGAACAGAAACUCAACAGCAAAAGCCACAAAAGGGGAAGAAGCCAGGAGCGCUGAUGCCACAGGAGCUCGCGCCUCCGGCCUCACCGCUUGGAGAGGGAGGGACUCACGUCAGCAGUGGCCCCGCGCCCGCCUGGGGUGGAUUGUGAGUAGUCUGGGAAGGGAACUGAGGGAAGCCGGCGGGCAGGCAAGGAGGGAAGUGUGAUGUGCAGACCACCGGCCCGUGGCCCUUGGCCGGGGAAGGGGCGCUGGUGAAACUUCACCCCCCACCCCCGCUUCCUCCUCCGAGAAGGCCGGGCAGCACGCAGGGGGCAGGCGUCCGCCAGGGGGCAGCAGCAGGCACGGGAGCGGGUGGCCGGUCAGCGCCUGUCCUGGGUGUGGGGCCUGUGCCUCAGUUGGCCGGGCUGCACUGCAGGAUCUGAUGAGGAGCGAAUAGCUUCCUGGCUCCCAUGGCCUCCCCGGGCUUUCCCAGCACUGGGCAGUUCUCUUUAUUCUCUUUGCUGUCCAGCCCGACAGGCUGACCCGAGGCCUUCUUGAAGUAGCAGAGGCGGCACACGGAGUGGUACUUGUCUGCUCCUCCUAUCACCUCGACCUGGCCAUGGGACAGGAAGCGCCAGGACUGAGCGGGGACACAGCACCACCCCCGCCCCUCCACCCCUUGGAGAAGGCAGGAGGCGCCACCUCUUUCUCCACGCCCAGCCUCUUGGUGUAGGCGGCCUCUCGGAAGCACUCCAUGCACACCGCCGUCAGCUUCACCACACUCUCGGCCAGGGGCACCAGGUUCAGGAUGGUCCCGAAAGCCUGUAUUCCCAUGGAAAGACUGGUGUGCACUUACCUCACCGGGUGGGCUUUUCCUUGAAACCCUCUGAUUCACAGCCCUGAAGCCAGGAAACUAGGCCCUGACCUUGCUUUCCCCCAGAGCACCAGCCCCUGCAGCAGGCGGCCUAGUCUGGGGCAAACCAGGGAGCUGGGUCUGGCUCGCCUGAGCGCCUGGGCUCUGGCAGUCUGGUCAUCCAGGGCGCGGUGAGCUGUCCAUCUGUGCACAGCCCCGGCCCCUUCCUCCCUCCUGGGUCCCAUCCCGAGACCUGGACCAGACGCCUUACCUUCCUCUGGAAGGUCCCAUCCAGUGCAGCCACAAUGACGGUCUUCCCGGCAUUGGCCAUGGUCUCGCUGAACUCCACGAUGUCGGGGAACUGGAAAGGGUGAGAGGAGGAGUGAGCUUCCGCCCUGGGCAGCAGCUUCUAGGAGCCACGAACACGUGGCUGGACCCAACAGCUCUGGCCACCUGGAUCGGCGUGGAGCGCGAGAAUAGGGUGGCCCCAGCCCCCCACACCCGGCACGCUGCCUGCACAUCUGCAGCAGCCCCAGUCGCUCCACCAUCCUGCCAGCUUUCCAUGGCAGACCCGGGGCCCACUCCAGGCCAAGCACCCGGAACAGUCACCAGGAGAGGCAGUCUGCUACCGCAGUGGUCAAAAGCCCAGGCCAGAGGCUGCCUUGGGCUUGAACCGUGGUCUUGGUUGGACCCAUUAGCUGUGACCUUGGCAAUGACUUCACGUUUCUGAGCCCAAGAAAAGGCAAGGAAGGCCCUUGGUGGUGGUUAGGGAUUCAGGAGCCUCGAAUAAUUUAUGACAUAUGCUAUAUGGCCGAGAGGCAGGCUCUGUGUGCUUGCUUUUCUUUAAAAACAUAAUGUGCCCAUGUGACGCCUUGAGAAGGGGUGAGGGUUCCACUGGCCACUUAGAGCAGGAUGGCACGGCACACCCUUCUAAAUACAGGGCCUGCAGAAAGGUCACUUACUUGGGAAAUCAAAUUUCAAGUGGCCCAGGGCAAGGCUGCUACUUAAAUUCUUUGGUGAACUUUCACUGGUCAAUCAUCUGUCUAGAUUGGUCUUUGGGUUGGGUGAAGUGGGGAGUUCUUGUGUUUGGGCAAAGGGUCUCUCUCCAAGCCGUUCAUGUAGGUGCAAAAUUACCAAGACCUGAGGGCUCAGCAAGACGAGGUCCAGGAGAGGGGUUAGAAAACCUGGAUCAGUUCCAGCGGGAUUCACCGAAGCCAGAUCUGACGGCCUCUGCAGGGCUGCCGAGCCUGAGCUACGGAAACAGCACCUCCCACCCAGAGGCUCCAGCCUGGCUCCAGAUCCAGCACCUGGGCUGACCUGCCGUGAGCCACUUCCUGAACAAGGUUUGAUGAGGGGAGAGGACCGAAAGGGGAGAUCAGGAAGCCAAGAAGUAGUUUCACCCUCGUCCUUAUCUUGCCGAGAGGUGGCGCCCUCAUGAUGCACGAGGGAAGCACCCCAGCCCUGCCCCGGUGGAGGCCCAGCUUCCCGGCAGCCAGGCUGGUGUUGAAGGCGCAAAGGCCACAGAGGACAGGAACGAAGGACGUGACACUGAAACAUUCAACCGUUCCACCAUGAAUGGUAGAGACUAAAUGAGAUGCACAGACCAAAUCCAGAGGCAAAUAAACAGGGAAGAAAUAUUUACAGCAUGUGACAAACUGGCACCGAUUACACCAUGUCCUGUAGAGGAAAGAUCAACCAAGAGAAGGAGGCAAUUUACAAAAGUAGAAACACAGGGAAAAUGAUGUCAGCCACCCGAGCAACAAAGGAGAAGGGCAGUUGGAACAGGAUGUGUGUAUGCAGCCGCCAACACCCUGCCCUCCACCGCCGGGGAUUUCCGCAAACACCCAGAUGCCUCUCCCCCCACCCCCCACGCUGUCCAUGCUCCUCCAGCAGAGGAGACGCCCUGGGCGGCUUCCAGGCUCUCCCAGGGUUACCGCCAAAGUCUUUCCCGCUGACCUGGCCAAAGCCCCUGGCCUCCUGGCUGCUCCUGAGACAUGCCCAAAAGCACACUCCUGACUGGGAACCUUCACCCCACUUUCCUUUUGGCCCCUUUCUGACCGUCCUCAUAAAGCAUCAUCCCCACCUUAGCUCUACCCCCUCACAGUGCCUUUCUCCCCCGGUUGCCACCACCUUUUACGUAUUUCUCUCCCCCAACUAGAAUAUAAGUGCGAGGGUGAGACCCUGGCUGUAUCCCCAACACCUAGAACAUCGCUGCCACACAGCACAAGCUCAGAAAACACUUACUGAAUGAAUGAGAUCGGUCCCUUGACCAGUGAUUCUACUUAGUGGAUAAACCCCAAUACACCGGACGACAGCCAGGAUGUCCGCACACACGUCCGUCACAGCCUGUAAGUGCCACACCCAAGGGGCCAGCUCGUGGAAGACAUGGGAUGUUCAUAAGGAUAGGUAUUUGCUGAUGAGGAAAAAAUGGUCACAACACGUGAUAUGAGCCCGAUCUAUAAAUACGAACUUCCGGCAAGGCCAUUCUGUGACUGUGAUGGUCAAGACAAAACCAGACCCCUCCUAGGGAAUUCCCUGGUGGUCCCAGUGGUCUCCGCGCUCUCACUGCUGAGGGCCCGGGUUCAAUCCCUGGUCAGGGAACUGGAUCCCACGUGCUGCAACUAAAGAUCCCGCACGCUGCAACGAAGACCCCGUGUGCUGCAACUAAGACCCAGCACAGACAAAAAAAAAAAUUAAAAAGAAACAGAGAGGAAGGGGCCCAUGAAAAUCCUACCAUGGCCCCGGGCAGACCAUUAGCGCCAGAAUCUAAGACUAGGCGCCGCGCGCACCAGCAGAGAUAAGCCACGAACACCGACCAGCAGUGCAGUGACCUAGGAUUCCCUCCCUUUGACUCCUCUGGUUGAUUGAUUAAAGGAUUUCUCAGAGAUCAUAGAGCUAUUAAAGGGCAGAGUCAGGAUUCAGAUCCGCAUUCAUACCGCUGCCUCGUGUGUCCUGAGGGGAGGUUCCUACCCAGCAGAGUCUGAAAGUGAAAGGCCAUGUGUGGGAGUGUUCCAGUGCAUUCAAUGACGCGGUGGACCCCACCCUGCCCCACAGCCAGGCCUUUUGGAAGAGGAAUGCUGUUCUUUGUCUUCUAGUUUCUGUUUUUCUGCAAUGUUAUUUUCUUCUGUUUCCAUUUUUGCCUGCUCCUCUGAACUACCCUUCCAAGGAGCUAGGAGUUUCCUGACGGCUCUGCAGUUUUGCAGCUAUAUAUUUAUGUAAAACUUUACAACUACUUAGUGAUGAUCUUGCUUUGAUCCUGGCAGGCAAUGCAAGCCGGUUCCAGCUUCAGCAAGAGCAGCGUCUCUGGAGCACCGUCACCCCUGCCAAGCGCUAGGCCUCUGCUGCAGCUCGUCUGGGCCUCUACAGCCCAGAUUAGAGAGGAUUUGUGACACUGGGG